GUACACACCGCCCGUCACACCAUGGGAGUGGGUUGUACCAGAAGCAGGUAGACUAACCGCAAGGAGGUCGCCUACCACGGUAUGAUUCAUGACUGGGGUGAAGUCGUAACAAGGUAGCCGUAGGUGAACCUGCAGAAGGAUCA
rnacentral:rRNA from 1 species